AUUGAACGCUGGCGGCAGGCCUAACACAUGCAAGUCGAGCGGAUGAAGGGAGCUUGCUCCUGGAUUCAGCGGCGGACGGGUGAGUAAUGCCUAGGAAUCUGCCUGGUAGUGGGGGAUAACGUCCGGAAACGGGCGCUAAUACCGCAUACGUCCUGAGGGAGAAAGUGGGGGAUCUUCGGACCUCACGCUAUCAGAUGAGCCUAGGUCGGAUUAGCUAGUUGGUGGGGUAAAGGCCUACCAAGGCGACGAUCCGUAACUGGUCUGAGAGGAUGAUCAGUCACACUGGAACUGAGACACGGUCCAGACUCCUACGGGAGGCAGCAGUGGGGAAUAUUGGACAAUGGGCGAAAGCCUGAUCCAGCCAGGCCGCGUGUGUGAAGAAGGUCUUCGGAGUGUAAAGCACGUUAAGUUGGGAGGAAGGGCAGUAAGUUAAUACCUUGCUGUUUUGACGUUACCAACAGAAUAAGCACCGGCUAACUUCGUG
rnacentral:rRNA from 1 species